rnacentral:rRNA from 1 species
ACUCCUACGGGAGGCAGCAGUGGGAAUAUUGCACAAUGGGCGCAAGCCUGAUGCAGCCAUGCCGCGUGUGUGAAGAAGGCCUUCGGGUUGUAAAGCAGCUUUCAGUCGUGAGGAAGGUGGUGUUGUUAAAUAGCCAGCAUCAUUUGACGUUAGCGACAGAAGAAGGCACCGGCUAACUCCGUGCCAGCAGCCGCGGUAAUACGGAGGGUGCGAGCGUUAAUCGGAAUUACUGGGCGUAAAGCGCAUGCAGGUGGUUUGUUAAGUCAGAUGUGAAAGCCCGGGGCUCAAGCCUCGGAAUAGCAUUUGAAACUGGCAAGCUAGAGUACUGUAGAGGGGUGGUAGAAUUUCAGGUGUAGCGGUGAAAUGCGUAGAGAUCUGAAGGAAUACCGGUGGCGAAGGCGACCACCUGGCCAAUAACUGACACUGAGACGCGAAGGCGUGGGGUAGCAAACGGGGAUUAGAUACCCUGGUAGGCUCU